rnacentral:piRNA from 1 species
UAGACGAGGAUGGCCAUAUGGUGGAA